GUGCUCACUUCAGCAGCACAUAUACUAAAUUGGAAUGAUACAGAGAUUAGCAUGGCCCCUGCACAAGGACCAUACACAUACAAAUAAAAUAAAGUACGAUCAGUUU